rnacentral:hammerhead_ribozyme from 15 species
AAGGCGUAUAAGGUAGACUUCCACUACAAUGCCUUACUGAUGAGUCCAGUAGUGGAAGCCGGGACGAAACGCCAA